GCGCCUCCUCUCCUCCUUCCCCGCCGCCGCCCGGCCUCCUCCUUCCACCCCUCCGGCCGGCUCCUCUCCCGCUCGCGCCGCCUCCUCCUCCCCACCAGCGCCUCCCUCUCGUCCUUCCCCACCUUCGCCUGGCCUCCUCCUUCCUCCCCUCCGAUCUGGCGCCGCCCAAACCCUAACGCCCCGCCCCGGCCCUGGAUCGUGCGCCGCCUCCGCUGCCGGCAGGAGGGGGCCGCGGCGGCCGCGGCGCAGCCCGAUGACCAGGAGCUCCCCGGUGAGCAGCCGUCCGCCCCUUCCCCCUCCAAAGCUCGCGCUCUUCCUCUCUUCACCGUCCCCUUGCUCCGCCGGCCGCCGGCCCGCCAACUCCUUCGCCUCCGGGAAGCACCGCCUUGUUUGCUCCUGUUCGGCGGCGGCCGUGGUCGAGCUCGAGCCCGGGCGCGGCGGCGCGUUGUUGAGCAUGGCUGCGGCCCGGCCAUGGCCGAGCUCGAGUGUUUCGUUGACGUUCCUACUGAUGUGCGCCCUAACUGUUGCUGUUGUGCGCCCUAACUGCCAUGGCCGAGCUCAGCUCUAUCAAUUCCCCGCCCUAACUGCUGUUGUGCGCCCUAACCCUAGCCUCUCACAGUAGGGAGAGGAGGUCGUGGGGGAGGAAGGAGAAGAGGACAUGGAGCAGCGUAACUGGCGGAGCAGCUGCAACGUCGAGCGGCCUCAGUGAACCAAGAGAGUCGUGGAUGCAGUGAGAGUUGGGUGUCGUGUCCGAUUGAGCGGCAAGCCGGAACUGCAAGUUGUUGAACAUGUGGUGCUACUGUGACUUGCCGUUCACUGUCACCAAUUACAUGUAGCAGUGAGUGAUAAAUUUCCAUUGCAUGUCACUGCUGCUGUGAAGUUAAUCUCUCUUGAAGAGACCGUCAGGAAAAGAAUCUCUUGCAAGUGUUUGUGGAUCCAUCAUUCAUGGAUUUUCCAGCUACUCAGUAGCCUGAUUCCUCCAUCUCAGGGAUUUAGUUUUGUCAGUAUAAAGUAGCUAGCUGUUGGGCUUCCUUGGCAUACAUCUCACGUUUUACAUGGAUGAUGAGAAAGGAAUUGUAAAACUUGCUGCUUUUUCUUAGUAUAUAUAUGUUGUUCAAAGGAUUUCCAAGAAAUCAGGCCAAGUUGAUGAUCAGUUUCAUACUAAUUGAUGUAUGGUGAUAAAGAUUCACGAGUUGGCUGCGCACAUGCUUGCUGGCUGGAAGGAGUUUGAUUCAUUACUUGAUGGCCUCAAAAUGGAUACAGGAUCUGUUGGAAUCAAGAAGGCCUUAAGGUAGCCCACUUGAUCUACUUUAGCUCCAUGCUUUAUUAAUGGCCAGCUUACUUACUUUGAUAUAUAACACUAAUGUUGAUUGACAUCAACUCGUGGUUCUUCCCUGAGGCGAACCUUACCCACUGCAAGUCCGCAGUGUGGCUGCUUGGUGGCUGUCGCAUUGCUGGCCAGGCUCCACCUCCGCCUUGUGGUUGUUGGCGUCACCGGCCAUGCCCCACCCGCACAAACUCCUGCUCGCCUCCCAUCUUGAUGUCCACAUCUAAGUAUGGGGUUUCCGACUAUGGUGCAGCAUAACCUCAGUAGAUCAUCUCCAAAUGGGUGCUAGUAUGGUAGUUCAAUAUACGCAUUGAUUUGGCAGGAUUUAUGAGGAGUGGGUAAUCAAUGAACCUACAAUCAGUCACGACUCUAGAGCAAAAGAAAGGGUCAAGCAGUGAUGCGUCGGUAAGGAAAUCAAUCAAUAUAAGGGUCAUAGCUCGGGUUCGAGGACAAGGCCAACCUCAUGCAGUCGAUUAAGAAUACGCUGCAGGGUUUGGUGGUCUGGCACAUCGAGUGCUCGAGAGCCUGGAGCCCAAGGUCAGGAAGCGCGUUGAGGCGCUCCAAAAUAUAUCCAGGUGCUACUCAAUUCGUUAGUUGUAUCUCAUUAUGCGCUGGACAACACAACAAUUUGAUUGUGAAUCUAUUCUGGUGCAGAGUCGUUCGAUGCUUGCACCGUUGUAAUCGCUUUGGCUACUUCCAGUGCUGAUCAAGAGCAGGGACAACAGAUCAUGUAUCCUUUGCUUCAUGAACUAAUGUUCUAAAUUCUUCAAGCAGCGAGGCACACAUACCGUCUAGUAGCAGUACUAUCGCAAAGCCAGUUGAUGCUAGGUGUGCUUGAAGAUGUUCCACUCCAUGGAUCGAUAGAGUACAAUGGCUUUGUCUACACUUAUCUUUAAGGACACAACCUGGAGUCUUGUGGAGGUGUGAAGAUGAUACCCAAGUAAUCUAGGACAUUAAUUUGUUACGGGUUCACUUGUGUACAAGAGUGCCAUGUUCUUUCCCGUGUAAUAUAUUGUGAUUUUUUUGUUUAACAUCAUGUAGACUGUAUCUUUCUAUGGUAGUAAACAUUAUCCUGCUUUUUGGUUUGGAGCUGAGCGCUGGACCAUGGUGAUGGAGACUGCUCUUUGGAAUUCCAGUAUACUUGGAGAAAGAAGCAAAAGUUGAGGACCAGGUUGUUCUCAGUAUAUUUGUCACAACAAGUAUGAUUUGGUAUAUCAUGUUAUCAUGUUAUAUUUCAUAUGAAAUUUGCCAAUGGCGUGUGAUGAACCUUGAUGCUGUCUAUCCUUUAUAUGGAUAAGAUGUAAACUUUGUUUUAGAUUA